UCAUUCUUUCCGAGGCACAAGGCAACCCGUAGGGACAAUGAAGGGGGACAACCCCCAGCCCGAAUAACUUUCAGCAUCCGAAAGCACCAGCCAAAGACACAUGGGCCAACGCAGCCGUGUAUCGGCGUGCAUGGAACAUGUGCAUCGCUACGAUGUCCACCCCAUGCCAUGUGUGGCAACGGGUAGAGUAGCACAAAGAUCAAAUUCAAUUUCCACCGUAGUGGGUAAGCAACACAGGAACCAAGCAUCACCACGAAACAAUGUUUCGGGUAUUUGAAUCUGAACGGAUCGCUGGAAAACAGUUCGGUGCGCGGAGCAUGGC
rnacentral:misc_RNA from 1 species